AGAGUUUGAUCCUGGCUCAGGAUGAACGCUAGCGGCAGGCCUAACACAUGCAAGUCGAGGGGCAUCACGAGGUAGCAAUACUUUGGUGGCGACCGGCGCACGGGUGCGUAACGCGUAUGUAACCUACCUAUAACAGGGGCAUAACACUGAGAAAUUGGUACUAAUUCCCCAUAAUAUUCGGAGAGGCAUCUCUCCGGGUUGAAAACUCCGGUGGUUAUAGAUGGACAUGCGUUGUAUUAGCUAGUUGGUGAGGUAACGGCUCACCAAGGCAACGAUACAUAGGGGGACUGAGAGGUUAACCCCCCACACUGGUACUGAGACACGGACCAGACUCCUACGGGAGGCAGCAGUGAGGAAUAUUGGUCAAUGGACGCAAGUCUGAACCAGCCAUGCCGCGUGCAGGAAGACGGCUCUAUGAGUUGUAAACUGCUUUUGUACGAGGGUAAACUCACCUACGUGUAGGUGACUGAAAGUAUCGUACGAAUAAGGAUCGGCUAACUCCGUGCCAGCAGCCGCGGUAAUACGGAGGAUUCAAGCGUUAUCCGGAUUUAUUGGGUUUAAAGGGUGCGUAGGCGGUUUGAUAAGUUAGAGGUGAAAUCCCGGGGCUUAACUCCGGAACUGCCUCUAAUACUGUUAGACUAGAGAGUAGUUGCGGUAGGCGGAAUGUAUGGUGUAGCGGUGAAAUGCUUAGAGAUCAUACAGAACACCGAUUGCGAAGGCAGCUUACCAAACUAUAUCUGACGUUGAGGCACGAAAGCGUGGGGAGCAAACAGGAUUAGAUACCCUGGUAGUCCACGCAGUAAACGAUGAUCACUAGCUGUUUGCGAUACAGUGUAAGCGGCACAGCGAAAGCGUUAAGUGAUCCACCUGGGGAGUACGCCGGCAACGGUGAAACUCAAAGGAAUUGACGGGGGCCC
rnacentral:rRNA from 1 species